AAAGACCUUAUGCUUUUGGAGCGGCCGAUGUCUGAUUAGCUAGUUGGUAAGGUAAAGGCUUACCAAGGCGACGAUCAGUAGUUGGUCUGAGAGGACGACCAGCCACACUGGGACUGAGACACGGCCCAGACUCCUACGGGAGGCAGCAGUGGGGAAUUUUGGACAAUGGGCGAAAGCCUGAUCCAGCAAUGCCGCGUGAGUGAAGAAGGCCUUCGGGUUGUAAAGCUCUUUCAGUCGAGAAGAAAAGAUUGUGACUAAUAAUCAUAAUUUAUGACGGUAUCGACAGAAGAAGCACCGGCUAACUACGUGCCAGCAGCCGCGGUAAUACGUAGGGUGCGAGCGUUAAUCGGAAUUACUGGGCGUAAAGGGUGCGCAGGCGGUUCUGCAAGUCAGGUGUGAAAUCCCCGGGCUUAACCUGGGAACU
rnacentral:rRNA from 1 species